UUGAGGAUGUUUUCACCCCUUCUCCCAGGCCCUGGGUGGAGUGUUUCAUGGGAAUACUCCCCUCCCUUUCAUGUUGGAGCCUAUGUUUGGGUGUGUGGGCACCCCCAGAUCCCUUGGUGAGGGCUGCUCAGGUGGUCAGUGCCGGCCUGGGAGGGGAUUUCGGAGGGAUCCUCUUUCCAGGAGUGACUGAUGGACUCAUUGCAAGAAGCCAGAAUGAAGAGCCAGGAUGGGCACAUGGAGCCUAUAGCAAAAAGAAAAGAAAAAGCAGACAGAGAAGGAGAGCCCUGAGUCAGUGCUCUCAGCCCAGCCCAGCAGACAGAAACACUCCCAGCCCAGCACCCCAUGGAAGAGCCAGACACGCCCCUGUCUUGACAGCCAUCACUCAGACAUCUUUUUAUAUGCCUCCUGCCUCCCAGGAGAACCA